AAAUUGAAGAGUUUGAUCAUGGCUCAGAUUGAACGCUGGCGGCAGGCCUAACACAUGCAAGUCGAACGGUAACAGGAAGCAGCUUGCUGCUUCGCUGACGAGUGGCGGACGGGUGAGUAAUGUCUGGGAAACUGCCUGAUGGAGGGGGAUAACUACUGGAAACGGUAGCUAAUACCGCAUAAUGUCGCAAGACCAAAGAGGGGGACCUUCGGGCCUCUUGCCAUCGGAUGUGCCCAGAUGGGAUUAGCUUGUUG
rnacentral:rRNA from 2 species